rnacentral:rRNA from 1 species
ACGGUCACUUAGGUGAUAGUGGCGGACGGGUGAGUAACACGUGAGAACCUACCUUCAGAAUGGGGACAACAGUUGGAAACGACUGCUAAUACCCAAUGUGCCGAAAGGUGAAAGAUUUAUCGUCUGAAGAUGGGCUCGCGGCUGAUUAGCUAGUUGGUGGUGUAAGAGACUCCCAAGGCAACGAUCAGUAGCUGGUCUGAGAGGAUGAGCAGCCACACUGGAACUGAGAAACGGUCCAGACUCCUACGGGAGGCAGCAGUGGGGAAUUUUCCGCAAUGGGCGAAAGCCUGACGGAGCAAUACCGCGUGAGGGAGGAAGGUUCUUGGAUUGUAAACCUCUUUUCUAGGGGAAGAAAAAAAUGACGGUACCCUAGGAAUAAGCAUCGGCUAACUCCGUGCCAGCAGCCGCGGUAAUACGGAGGAUGCAAGCGUUAUCCGGAAUUAUUGGGCGUAAAGCGUCCGUAGGUGGUAUUUCAAGUCUGCCGUCAAAGCAUGGAGCUUAACUCCAUAAAGGCGGUGGAAACUGAGAAACUAGAGUACAGUAGGGGUAGCAGGAAUUCCCAGUGUAGCGGUGAAAUGCGUAGAUAUUGGGAAGAACAUCGGUGGCGAAAGCGUGCCACUGGACUGAAACUGACACUGAGGGACGAAAGCUAGGGUAGCGAAAGGGAUUAGAUACCCCUGUAGUCCUAGCCGUAAACGAUGGAUACUAGGCGUAGCGCGUAUCGACCCGUGCUGUGCCGAAGCUAACGCGUUAAGUAUCCCGCCUGGGGAGUACGCACGCAAGUGUGAAACUCAAAGGAAUUGACGGGGCCCGCACAAGCGGUGGAGUAUGUGGUUUAAUUCGAUGCAACGCGAAGAACCUUACCAAGGCUUGACAUGUCCUGAAUUCUGGUGAAAGCUGGAAGUGCCUUAGGGAGCAGGAACACAGGUGGUGCAUGGCUGUCGUCAGCUCGUGUCGUGAGAUGUUGGGUUAAGUCCCGCAACGAGCGCAACCCUCGUUUUUAGUUGCCAUCAUUAAGUUGGGCACUCUAAAGAGACUGCCGGUGACAAACCGGAGGAAGGUGGGGAUGACGUCAAGUCAUCAUGCCCCUUACGUCUUGGGCUACACACGUACUACAAUGGUCGGGACAACGGGCAGCAAAUCCGCGAGGACAAGCGAAUCCCAGCAAACCCGGCCUCAGUUCAGAUUGCAGGCUGCAACUCGCCUGCAUGAAGGAGGAAUCGCUAGUAAUCGCAGGUCAGCAUACUGCGGUGAAUUCGUUCCCGGGCCUUGUACACACCGCCCGUCACACCAUGGGAGCUGGUCACGCCCGAAGUCGUUACUCCAACCCGC